rnacentral:rRNA from 1 species
UUGUCCGGAUUUAUUGGGUUUAAAGGGUGCGUAGGCGGCCCGUUAAGUCAGUGGUGAAAGGUAUCAGCUCAACUGAUGAAGUGCCAUUGAAACUAACGGGCUUGAGUACAGACGAGGUAGGCGGAAUUUAUGGUGUAGCGGUGAAAUGCAUAGAUACCAUAAAGAACACCGAUAGCGAAGGCAGCUUACUAGACUGAGACUGACGCUGAGGCACGAAAGCGUGGGGAGCAAACAGGAUUAGAUACCCCAGUAGUCCAU